rnacentral:SRP_RNA from 1 species
GCCGGACGUGGUGGCGCGGGCCUGUGGUCCCAGCUACUCGGGAGGCUGAGGCGGGAGGAUCGCUUGAGCCAGGAGUUCUGGGCUGUAGCGCGCUAUGCCGAUCAGGCGUCUGCACUAAGUUUGCCAUCAAUAUGGGGACCUCCCGGGAGCGGGGGACCACCAGGUUGCCUAAGGAGGGGUGAACCGGCCCAGGUGGGAAACAGAGCAGGUCAGAACUCCCGUGCUGAUCAGUAGUGGGAUCGUGCCUGUGAACAGCCACUGCACUCCAGCCUGGGCAACAGAGCGAGACCCCAUCUCC